rnacentral:rRNA from 1 species
UGCCUAACACAUGCAAGUCGCACGAGAUAGUCCACCGCAAGGUGGAUGUGUAAAGUGGCGCACGGGUGCGUAACACGUGGGUAAUCUGCCCUCAAGAGUGGGACAACCUGCCGAAAGGCGGGCUAAUACCACAUAAGACCACAGGGUCUUCGGACCUCGAGGUCAAAGGAUGGCCUCUUCACGAAAGCUAUCGCUUGGGGAUGAGCCCGCGGCCCAUCAGCUAGUUGGUAGGGUAACGGCCUACCAAGGCAAUGACGGGUAGCUGGUCUGAGAGGACGACCAGCCACACUGGAACUGAGACACGGUCCAGACUCCUACGGGAGGCAGCAGUGGGGAAUAUUGGACAAUGGGGGCAACCCUGAUCCAGCAACGCCGCGUGGGUGAUGAAGGCCUUCGGGUCGUAAAGCCC